AGUUUGAUCCUGGCUCAGGAUGAACGCUGGCGGUAUGCUUAACACAUGCAAGUCGAACGAUGUGGGGACGUAGCAAUGCUACGUCUGUGCAUAGUGGCGGACGGGUGAGUAACGCGUGAGAAUCUAGCUUCAGGUUCGGGACAACAUUGGGAAACCGAUGCUAAUACCGGAUGUGCCGAGAGGUGAAAGGCUAGCCGCCUGAAGAAGAGCUCGCGUCUGAUUAGCUAGUUGGUGGUGUAAGGGACUACCAAGGCGACGAUCAGUAGCUGGUCUGAGAGGAUGAUCAGCCACACUGGAACUGAGACACGGUCCAGACUCCUACGGGAGGCAGCAGUGGGGAAUUUUCCGCAAUGGGCGAAAGCUUGACGGAGCAAUACCGCGUGAGGGAGGAAGGCUCUUGGGUUGUAAACUCUUUUCUCAAGGAAGAAGUUCUGACGGUACUUGAGGAAUCAGCAUCGGCUAACUCCGUGCCAGCAGCCGCGGUAAUACGGAGGAUGCAAGCGUUAUCCGGAAUGAUUGGGCGUAAAGCGUCCGCAGUGGGUUGUGUGUGUCUAUUGUCAAAGCAUCAUUCUU
rnacentral:rRNA from 1 species